GCCGUGGUGGCGGAAUUGGCAGACGCGCUGGACUCAAAAUCCAGUGACUCUAAAAAAGUCGUGUGGGUUCGACUCCCACCCGCGGCA
rnacentral:tRNA from 1 species